rnacentral:lncRNA from 10 species
CUCCCUCCCUCCUUUACUCGAGUCCACCCUUCUCUUUGGACAUUGGUGCCUUGCACACACCUGUGUUCCUUCCUGAGGAAAAUGACAACUUGGCUGCCUCCUUGGCCUGUGUCUGGGAAACCUGGAUCCCCCCUGGAAUGGAAGGUGGCCUGGGAAGCAGAAAGUCAAGGGUCAGGUGGUCCUGGGCUUUUCAAGGCAUAACUUUGGGUGGUUUAAUUGUUCAGAGCCCAUUUCUCUUACCCAUACAUGGUAGGGCUAGUAGGAGUCUGAACUGGGACUGUGCAUGUAACAUAACCAAGCCUGCAGCUGGCCCUCAGUGGAUGUUCAUCCAUCAUGCCCCUGAUAACUCAGGGUGAGCAAAUAGCCCCUCGGUGAAGCAGGUGCUCCUGUGCUUGAUAUCUUGUCUGACACAUGUGGCCAUGAGGCAAGCAAUGUCUCCCACUGUUACUGCCAGCGAGACAGGUUGGAAAGAGGAAGUGACUUCCCGAGAGUCAGGAUGAAGCCCUCUGACUCCUAGGCCCGCCCUCUUCAUGGUUUCAUAUUUUACAGGAGUCCUAGAGGAAAGGACAUCUAUAUUUUAAUGAGUAUUAAAUAGCCAGAUUCUAUAACCAAAGGCUGGCACAAGAAGAUUAAAUCAAGGAGCAAAAAGCCAUUGCAGAGGACAGCACUCUGUAUGAUACCUGCUCUUGGCACCCUAUGGGGCUGGGAGGCAGAAGCCUCUAGACACAUUGGGUGUCCUCAUUGCAGUGGUCCCAGGCCAGCUGCUUUCGGGAGGGGGCUGGUUGGCAGCCAACAGAGGGACUUCCAGGAGGGCAGUGGAAGUCUUGGUAGCCCUUUGGGGGGGUGUUUCUAGGCUCUAGAGCCAGAACUUCUCCCUAACACUUACUGUCUUUUCUUUCCAGGCAUCAGGUCCUUUACUCUCAGCAGGAAACAUUUCUCAUCCAGGAGCAUAGCAGGAUUUGGGUGAAGGCAGACUUUUCUUUAGCUUUCCCCUUGACAUUUCUUAACCUCAUCUGUAAGCAAGGCAUGCAAACCGAGAGGACUCCUGCAGGGCUCUUGGAGGACUCCCAGGCAGUGUGCCCUGCUUAGUUUGCACUGAGGCCAAGGCAUUUGGUGGCCACCAGGUCACAUCUCAAAACGGGCACUGUCUGGGGGAAAUGAUUCAACAAACCUUAUUUAUCUGGUUGUUCGUCCCUGGUGUCUGGGCUUACCGGGUUCUUCACCUUGGAGAUGGUUAUAGGGAAGGAUAGAGGAGCAAGUGUUUAAAGAUCUACUUGUUAAUAUUCUUCUAAUAUUACUGUGUACGCAUCCGCCCUGCCCCAUUCUAUUGACCUGAGCACCUGGCAUUCUAAAGUAUCUCUGUUAACUCCCCCAGUUGGUCUGGCCAAGGAGUACUCGGCACGCUUGGUUCCAGAAACAGAAUACCCUGCCGGCUGGUGAUGGUAAAGGUAGAGGCGGGGUUUUGUAGGGGCACAGCUGGCAGGCUCCCAGGCUCCCAGAGCAGGAGGUGAGAUCCAGCUGGCCCUCCCAGGGACCUGCACUGAGAUGUGAGGGCCAUUUCUCGUUAUUUCUGAAUAUCUGCCUUAUUGUCCUGCUCUUCCCUGCAAACCAGUGUUCUAGGAUCAUCAGCAGCAUCUCGAUUCCAUCAUGACUCAGGUCAGCCAUGGUGCCAAUUUGCCUCCUACUUCCUGUGACCUCGGAGCUCAGAUCCACACAGCGUCUCAGGCCCCAACUCCGGGUUUCUGGGAGAGUGAAUCUGAUUGGCCCAUCUUAGGUCAAGAGGUCACACCAGGCCAGUGAGCUGUUGGCAGGGAUUGUGGGAUCCGCUGGUGCAGCAACACUAUGGUGCCCACACUAUCUCAGGAGCUGGAGUGGGACCUAUUCCCUUAGAAGGCAGUGCCUGGCAUUCCUGUUCUCUCACUUGUUGACCUCCCCUUUGCUUUGUAGGGAUCUGUUACUAAUUCUUCCCAUCUGGAGCAAAUUAUGGACUUUCAUGCACAGGCUGUUAUGCUAAAUCAGCAUGAAAAUGGGUUUGAGAGAGACCAAAUGUGCUGGGUAAGGCAUGGUCACCAAGUCUGUAGGUGGUGGCGCAGCCCACAUUUCAGUUGAUUUUGUCUGUGUGGCCUCCAGAAGUUAAAAUCCUGUUAGGGGUUAUUCUGCACGAAUGUUUCCCCUGCUGUGAGGUUAGUCUGUCUAUUUCUUUCCUAUGCAGGAUCUAUGGCUCAGAGAGGUGAUUUGCCUUGGACCACAGAGCAGCUUGACAAUAGGGUUGGAAUUAGACACCAGGCCUUCUAGGGGCCCUGAAGAGCCUGAAAAUGGUCUUAAACCUUGACCUAGGAAUCUCAUAUUUGGGCAUCUGCCCUAAAGAAAUAAUAAAGCAUGAGCACAG